GGAGAGGUGCCGGAGCGGUUGAACGGGACGGUCUCGAAAACCGUUGUGGGGGCAACCCCACCCAGGGUUCGAAUCCCUGCCUCUCCGCCA
rnacentral:tRNA from 1 species